rnacentral:rRNA from 1 species
UAAUACGUAGGUGGCGAGCGUUGUCCGGAAUUAUUGGGCGUAAAGCGCGCGCAGGUGGGAUCUUAUGUCUGCUUUAAAAGUGCGGAGCUUAACUCCGUGAUGGGGUGGAAACUGAGAUUCUUGAGUGCCGGAGAGGAAAGCGGAAUUCCCCGUGUAGCGGUGAAAUGCGUAGAUAUGGGGAGGAACACCAGUGGCGAAGGCGGCUUUCUGGACGGUGUCUGACACUGAGGCGCGAAAGCCAGGGGAGCGAACGGG